rnacentral:rRNA from 1 species
CCUACGGGACGCAGCAGUGAGGAAUAUUGGUCAAUGGGCGCGAGCCUGAACCAGCCAAGUAGCGUGAAGGAAGAAUGCCCUACGGGCUGAAACCUUCUUUUAUAAAGGAAUUAAGUGAGGCACGUGUGCCAUAUUGUAUGUACUAUAUGAAUAAGGAUCGGCCAACUCCGCGCCAGCAGCCGCGGUCAUCCGGAGGUACCGAGCGUUAUGCGGAUUUAUAGGGUGUAAAGGGACCGGAGAUGGGUUGUUAAGCCGGUUGUGAAAGUUUGCGGCUCAACCGUAAAAUUGCACUUGAUACGGACAGCCUUGAGUACAGUUGAGGUAGGCGGAAUUCGUGGUGUAGCGGUGAAAUGCGUAGAUAUCACGAAGAACUCCGGUUGCGAAGGCAGCCUACUAAACUGCGACUGACGUUGAUGCUCGAAAGUGUGGGUAUCAAACAGGAUUAGAUACCCGUGUAGUC